GCGAAGGUGGCGGAAUUGGUAGACGCGCUAGCUUCAGGUGUUAGUGUCCUUACGGAAGUGGGGGUUCAAGUCCCCCCCCUCGCACCA
rnacentral:tRNA from 1 species